UACGUAGGGAGCAAGCGUUAUCCGGAUUUAUUGGGUGUAAAGGGUGCGUAGACGGGGAAAUAAGUUAGUUGUGAAAUCCCUCGGCUUAACUGAGGAUCUGCAACUAAAACUGUAACUCUUGAGUGCUGGAGAGGAAAGUGGAAUUCCUAGUGUAGCGGUGAAAUGCGUAGAUAUUAGGAGGAACACCAGUGGCGAAGGCGACUUUCUGGACAGUAACUGACGUUGAGGCACGAAAGUGUGGGGAGCAAACAGG
rnacentral:rRNA from 1 species